rnacentral:rRNA from 1 species
GUGUCAGCCGCCGCGGUAAUACAUAGGGUGCAAGCGUUGUCCGGAAUUAUUGGGCGUAAAGAGCUCGUAGGUGGUUCGUCACGUCGGAUGUGAAACUCUGGGGCUUAACCCCAGACCUGCAUUCGAUACGGGCGAGCUUGAGUAUGGUAGGGGAGUCUGGAAUUCCUGGUGUAGCGGUGGAAUGCGCAGAUAUCAGGAGGAACACCAAUGGCGAAGGCAGGACUCUGGGCCAUUACUGACACUGAGGAGCGAAAGCGUGGGGAGCGAACAGGAUUAGAUACCCCCGUAGUCC